UACGUAGGGUGCGAGCGUUAAUCGGAAUUACUGGGCGUAAAGCGUGCGCAGGCGGUUAUGUAAGACAGAUGUGAAAUGCCCGGGCUUAACCUGGGAACUGCAUCUGUGACUGCAUGGCUAGAGUUUGGCAGAGGGGGGUAGAAUUCCACGUGUAGCAGUGAAAUGCGUAGAUAUGUGGAGGAACACCGAUGGCGAAGGCAGCCCCCUGGGUCAAGACUGACGCUCAUGCACGAAAGCGUGGGGAGCAAACAGG
rnacentral:rRNA from 1 species